rnacentral:rRNA from 1 species
GUAGGUGGCAAGCGUUGUCCGGAAUUAUUGGGGCGUAAAGCGCGCGCAGGCGGUUCUUUAAGUCUGAUGUGAAAGCCCACGGGCUCAACCGUGGAGGGUCAUUGGAAACUGGAGAACUUGAGUAUAGAAGAGGAAAGCGGAAUUCCACGUGUAGCGGUGAAAUGCGUAGAGAUGUGGAGGAACACCAGUGGCGAAGGCGGCUUUCUGGUCUGUAACUGACGCUGAGGCGCGAAAGCGUGGGGAGCAAACAGGAUUAGAUACCCUGGUAGUCCACGCCGUAAACGAUGAGUGCUAAGUGUUAGGGGGUUUCCGCCCCUUAGUGCUGCAGCUAACGCAUUAAGCACUCCGCCUGGGGAGUACGGCCGCAAAGGCUG